rnacentral:piRNA from 1 species
CUCUCACUGAUUACUUGAUGACAGCAAAAG